CCCCAACCGACACUGUCAGCUUCCUGGUAAUAACCACCGACUUCCUGGCCUUGGAUAACCCCUCUGGUUCCAGGAACGAGGACCGGUUCAGCUCAACACAGCUACCCAGACCACAAAGAACCCACGGAGAGGCGUUACACAGAAUUUCGGUUCUGUUGGCAACUGUCAGACAGGACAGUGAGCAGACUUGCACAAGACCGUUUGCCUGGACUAAGACCAUGGGCUUAGUCACUGUUUAUCACUGAACUUGAUGUGUGACCAAAGAAAAAUAACCUGGAGUCACAGAACCAGCUGGUCACAUCCUGAGACACCCCCACCCCAAGCAGCCUCCUCCCCACCAAGCAGACCCCUCAUAGCUGGGGGGCAGCACAGUGUGUCUGCUGUCAGGGUUGGGGCUAAAGACCUGACUUGAGGAAUUUCUGGCAUUCAAGCUCUGUGUAAAGCACCAGGUAAGAGACCAGUCUUCCCCAGGUUUGUAACCCCAAGGCACAGCACAGUACUCAGCAAAGAACAGGCCCUCAAGAUAUUUAUUGGGACAAAUUUAGCAUCAUCACGUUCAUUCCAAAAAUAACACUUAAGAUUUUUAAGUUAGGGAUUUUGCAUGUGCAAUUUUUGAUUUUCAGUUUCCAUGAAUGAUAAUAAUGCUGAACUCAAGUCAUAUAUAUUUUUUUUUAUUGAGAGAGGGAGCAUGUGAGCAAGGGCAUAGAGAGAGAGAGGGAGAGAGAGAAAAAGA